rnacentral:rRNA from 1 species
UAGCUUCUCAGGCGACGAUCAGUACGUUGGUUGAGACGAUGAUCAGUCACAUUGGACUGAGACACGAUCAGACUCCUACGGGAGGCAGCAGUGGGGAAUUUCCGCAAUGGGCGAAGCCUGACGGAGCAACGCCGCGUGAGGAAGAAUGCCUGUGGGUUGUAAACCUCUUUUCUCAGGGAAGAAGAACUGACGGUACCUGAGGAAUCAGCAUCGGCUAACUCCGUGCCAGCAGCCGCGGUAAUACGGAGGAUGCAAGCGUUAUCCGGAAUUAUUGGGCGUAAAGCGUCCGCAGGUGGCUUACCAAGUCUGCUGUCAAAGCGCAGGGCUUAACUCUGUAAAGGCAGUGGAAACUGGUAGGCUAGAGUGCGACAGGGGUAGAGGGAAUUCCCAGUGUAGCGGUGAAAUGCGUAGAUAUUGGGAAGAACACCAGUGGCGAAGGCGCUCUACUGGGUCGCAACUGACACUCAUGGACGAAAGCUAGGGGAGCGAAAGGGAUUAGAUACCCCUGUAGUCCUAGCUGUAAACGAUGGACACUAGGCGUUGGACGUAUCGACCCGUUCAGUGCCGUAGCUAACGCGUUAAGUGUCCCGCCUGGGGAGUACGCACGCAAGUGUGAAACUCAAAGGAAUUGACGGGGGCCCGCACAAGCGGUGGAGUAUGUGGUUUAAUUCGAUGCAACGCGAAGAACCUUACCAGGGCUUGACAUCCCGCGAAUCCUCUGGAGACGGAGGAGUGCCUUCGGGAGCGCGGAGACAGGUGGUGCAUGGCUGUCGUCAGCUCGUGUCGUGAGAUGUUGGGUUAAGUCCCGCAACGAGCGCAACCCUCGUUUUUAGUUGCCAUCAUUCAGUUGGGCACUCUAGAGAGACUGCCGGUGACAAACCGGAGGAAGGUGGGGAUGACGUCAAGUCAUCAUGCCCCUUACGUCCUGGGCUACACACGUACUACAAUGCUUCGGACAAAGGGUUGCCAACCAGCGAUGGUGCGCUAAUCCCAUAAACCGAGGCUCAGUUCAGAUUGCAGGCUGCAACUCGCCUGCAUGAAGGAGGAAUCGCUAGUAAUCGCAGGUCAGCAUACUGCGGUGAAUACGUUCC